GUAGGGAAUAUUGCGCAAUGGGCGAAAGCCUGACGCAGCGACGCCGCGUGAGUGAUGAAGGACUUCGGUUCGUAAAGCUCUGUUGCAAGGGAAAAAGAAAGUGAUUGUACCUUGUGAGGAAGGGUCGGCUAACUUCGUGCCAGCAGCCGCGGUAAGACGAGGGACCCUAGCGUUGUUCGGAAUCAUUGGGCGUAAAGCGGGUGUAGGUGGCUCUCUAAGUCAGGUGUGAAAGCCCUGGGCUCAACCCAGGAAGUACAUUGGAGACUGGAGAGCUUGAGUGCUGGAGAGGCUAGUAGAAUUCCCGGUGUAGUGGUGAAAUACGUAGAUAUCUGGAGGAAUACCGGAGGCGAAGGCGGAUAGCUGGCCAGACACUGACACUCAGACCCGAAAGUGCGGGGAUCAAACAGGAUUAGAAACCCCUGUAGUCC
rnacentral:rRNA from 1 species